CCAUAAAAGAAAGUGCAUUUUUUGAGUUAAAAUACCUCAUAAUUACUGCUAAACUAAAACUAGAACUAAAUUUAAAAGUCUAUCCUAGAUAAAAGUGUGUAAAACAAGUGGAUUAAGUGCGUCAGCAAACAAGUAAUCAGAAGUUAAUUAAAUAGUACGGCUUCUAAAAUAUCUAGUUUCCUGAGCGCCUAUAAUCUACUGGAACAUACUAAGAUACUCAAACGAACAUAGAACACAUUAAAACAGCUAAAUUUUGCUGCCUUCAUUAUUAUUUCUAUUGCGAGCAAGCAAGUCACGAGUCAGAGACACUAAACGUAAGUUUUUUCUUAAAAGCUAUCAUUAAAUUACCCUAAUCAAGAUAUAAUGAAAUGAAACAAAACACACCUACUAUGUACAACAUAAACUUACUCUACUGUACAACAAUUUUCUUUGGUAGGAGUUUUUUAAC